GUGAGGAAUAUUGGUCAAUGGGCGCAAGCCUGAACCAGCCAAGUAGCGUGAGGGACGACGGCCCUAUGGGUUGUAAACCUCUUUUAUGCGGGGAUAACCGGCGCCACGGGUGGCGCCCUGCAGGUACCGCAUGAAUAAGGACCGGCUAAUUCCGUGCCAGCAGCCGCGGUAAUACGGAAGGUCCGGGCGUUAUCCGGAUUCAUUGGGUUUAAAGGGAGCGUAGGCCGCCCUUUAAGCGUGUUGUGAAAUGUAGGGGCUCAACCCCUGCACUGCAGCGCGAACUGGAGGGCUUGAGUACACGCAAGGCAGGCGGAAUUCGUGGUGUAGCGGUGAAAUGCUUAGAUAUCACGAAGAACCCCGAUUGCGAAGGCAGCUUGCCGGAGUGUGACUGACGCUGAAGCUCGAAAGCGCGGGUAUCGAACAGGAUUAGAAACCCUAGUAGUCC
rnacentral:rRNA from 1 species